GAUUAACGCUGGCGGGAUGCAUAACACAUGCAAGUCGAGCGGCAGCACUUCGGGUGGCGAGCGGCGGACGGCUGAGUAACACGUUGGUACCUGCCUUGAACUCAGGGAUAAGCACCGGAAACGGUGUCUAAUACCGGAUACCCCCGUAAGGGGAAAGCUUCGGCGGUUCAAGAGGGACCUGCGGCCUAUCAGUUAGUUGGUAAGGUAACGGCUUACCAAGACUAUGACGGGUAGCUGGUGUGAGAACACGACCAGCCAGAAUGGGACUGAGACACGGCCCAUACUCCUACGGGAGGCAGCAGUGAGGAAUUUUCCGCAAUGGACGAAAGUCUGACGGAGCAAUCCCGCGUGGAGGAUGACACCUUUCGAGGCGUAAACUCCUUUUCUGAGGGAAGAAAUUUUGACGGUACCUCAGGAAUAAGCACCGGCUAAUUACG
rnacentral:rRNA from 1 species